UAAAUAAAUAAAACAUGCCUCUAUUUAAAAAAAAAAAAAUAAAGUUUGUUCUGAGCUCACUGUAUGGCCUCUACUCUCAAUACUUGGUAGAAAGUAGGUAGGUAUUAGUGGGCGCAUAAAAUUCAGCUGCUGUGUUGCCUGGAGUUUGUGUGAGGGAGUAGGGUGCUGGGGCUUGGAAUUCAUCCAGCAUUUCAAGUUCAGUGACAUGAAGUUCAGACUAUUCCUUCAAGACCAAAAAAAAAAAAACCCAAAAAUGUCUGCUUCAUUGGUGUCUCGGCUUAAUUUCUUACAGUCUGUUGACCCCAGUUCUUUUUUUUUGCUCCACUCAAACCCAAAUGGGUAUGUUUAAACAAAGAAACUGUUCAUUGUCAGCUCCCCUGUGGUGCUGGGUGAACCCCUUCUGGGUUAGUACAUCUGGUCCCCACAGGCCAGUGUCAUUUAACAUAGUGCAUUUUCCUAAGGCAGACUCCUCUUUUGUUCAUUAUUUGCAAGAAUCACAUCGUUGCACAGACCGUUUUUCUCUGUUCCAGGGCUGUGCAGCCUGUUCUCUGAGUGUCUCCGAGUAAAUGUGUUGGGCGUUGCAGGCCACAGCCCCCCUCUCGCUUAGGGUUUUGGUGUUUUGUCUUACCAGCCUUCCACAUGUAGAAAUUGUUCUUAGCUUGCAAAGCUGGACAGGCUUUGGGAACGGGUGCUGUUUGCUCUUUGUUGGGAGUAGAUGGCAGCUUUUCCAAUGUAUAAGGAAAAGUGUUUACAGUUUGGACAGUUACGGAUGACUCAGAUGUGAGUACUCUCACCCUUGUCUUCUGCUGCGCAUGGGCCUAUAUGGGGGUGGGGGCGGACAUGUAGCUUGGAGGUACUGUUGUUCGGCACAAAGAAAACUUGGACAGCAGGGCCAAGAGGAAGCAGGUUUAAUGCUCCGGUGCUGACUCGGUGGAUUCGCAUCCCAAGGCUGAGCCCCCUUUAUAGGAAGUCAGGGCUCAUAGACACUCUCAGUUUCUACAAGGUUCCGGGUGGGUUUGCCUUGGCAGCUGUUCAUGGUCAGAUAGGACGUGGCUGCAUUCCAAGAGUGAGUUGUAUACCAAGGAGUAAGUCAGGAGUCAGUAGUCAUGGGACCCCCCAGGUCCAUCCUGCCUCAUGGUUAACAUCUGACAAGAUUCCUACCAGAAACCAAGUUGCGUCCAGGAACUGAGCAGAAGGUCGAUACUAAGACCCCCCAGGCUGCUUUUCCCGGUCACCAGCUUCAGAGAGCCCAAGCGAAACUGCUGUGUCUCAGGGUGUGUUGGGAAGAGAGCAGGCCAAGGGCAUCAGAUCGAAGCAGGCUUUAUUGGACGAAUGCCUGUGAGGGGCGAUUCUCCGUGGCUGCAGAGUGAGACUCGGGCCUUGAACUGGGGAGAGCGGGUCUUUAUGGGGCGCGUGCGGCGGGCGUCCCUACUGCCAGAGGGGUCUCGGGAGUGUUUACUGCUGUCAGCUUCUCUCUAGUUCAGCUUAUCUCAGGUUCCCUGGCGCCGGGUUGUGCGGGUUUACGAGGGACCUGGGGGUGCUCUCAUCGGGGUGUAUGUAUCUUCCACCUACACAGCUGUCAAACGCUGUCCAGAGUGGCUGCGCCGUUUCUGGUUCCUCCGGCACAAUAUCGCUUGCUUUGUGCCGGCCAUGCCCUGACGGCGCGGAGAUGCUCCUGUGUUCAGAAAGUCCCGUGCGUUUGCCUCUGUGGUUGGCAGGUGCACCCCAAAAUGAUUUUUGUGGGGGUAGUGAGGAGGGGCUCAGCAUCUCCCUUUUGGCCCACCAUGUCAUGGGCUCGGCCCCAUUAUUUAUUUAUUUAUUAAGAUUUAUUUCUAUACAAGAACUGGGGUACAGGCCAGAUGCAACGGGUGGGUGAGAGGAUUCACCAGAGACAGAGCAGGGAGCAGAACAGGUAGAACGACUGAAAUACACUGCUGAGGGGAGCAGCGGGCGAGGCAGGAGAGCUCUGCUGAGCCAUGUGGGAUUCUCACCGCCGGCCGGGAUCCAACCUACGCUGCAGAGGCUGCGGAUUGCUUCAUAGUGCGGCGCUCAACUGACUGCGCCACCAGGGAGGCCUGGCGCCGUUUUGUAAAGCCCACACUUGCCCUGUGUGGCUGAGUCUCGGGCUGGCUGUGUGUCCCGGCGUCGCUGUGUUUCCCUUCCCUGAGCAGCACAGUGUGUGCAGAAGACAUUUGUUCCUGUUGCCCAGGACACUAGGGGGGCGCAGAGAAUGUGGCCUCACCUGCCCGGUUCUUGUGUUCACUAGCACUUUCCCCGCUUCUCCAGGCAGGGAGGAGCACGUCAGCCUCGAUGACCGUCUGACUUACAGUGUCGUGCACUUCGGUUCACUGUGCGUUAAAACCUCCUCAGACAAUGUCAGUCAGUGUUGCCUUUAAGGCCACGCUUUCGCGCUCCCUGGCUCUCCCGCUGCCGGGCCUGUGUCCAUAGGGCGUGUUGUUUGAAACAGGAGAGCCGCUCGCACGGUUGGGGGACAGCGCCCAGACCCUUCCUUCCUCACGGUGUCCCUCUUGUACCCGAUCUGCCAGAGGUCUACUUGCUCCUGAGCUUGGGGCUGGGGUGCAUCUCAUGCCCUCGUGUCCUUUCUCAGUCACCCCACUUCACCUUCUGCCGCGGACCAGCACAGCAGUAGACGAUGAGGCCGUCUCAGGGUUGAGAGACUGCGCAGGGUGGUCAGGGAUUCGGUUAAAGAAAUGACAGACACACUUCAAGAAAGUGUAAAUCUGAGUGCAAUUUUAUUUGAGUCAGUGGUCAGUAUACAUAUGUUUUUUUCUAAAGGCAUAGGAUCGGUGAACAUCAAAGAAAUCAGCUUGCUCAUAGGUUUAGCUUAUCAUUGACAGGGCAGUGAUUUAGGUCCAAAAUACAUCUGGACCUAGCCGCAUUCCUAAGUAGACAGGCUAUUAACUCUUUAUAUUCUUGUUGUACUAACUACUACUACUACUACCUACUCAUGUUUACUCAUAAUUAAUUAUCAUGGGUGAAUUUAUAUUAUAAUGCAGUUAAUAUCAAAGGUACUAAAGUCAAGCACAUAAUAGAAAGAUUAUUAAACCAACAAUUCUAUUAUAACACAGUGUUUAAUAAUGUUUUAUUUGCAUUAGCCUGUUUAUUAAAUUAUGUCUGUUUUUUAAUUAGCAAUCAAUGACCAGAAAAAGGAAAGAUUUUAGAAAGACAGUUGUAGCAGAAUAAAGUUUGUGGGCCUUGAGAAAGCGAGAUAAGGUUCCAGGUGGUCAGCAUUUCUUUUAAUCAUCUUUGUGGCGGCUUCUGGUGGUCGUUAUCUCUUGGCAGGCAUUCGGCUUUUCUGCAUCUUAGGGAGUUUGCUGUUCUCCCCCUGUGCGCAUGGUUCCUUGCCCACGCCGGACCUCAGGGACCAUGGCAACAGCCAUUAGCCCUGACGUCACUGCAGGGGGAGGUGCAGCAACCUUCACACAGUAAAGGCAACCUGCACCCCACCCGGAUCUCAGCUUUGAGGCCAGCAGACCCCGUCCUGGGACACGGAGUCAUGGUCCUGGGCAGGAUCGUGGGUCCUGACUCUGGGGAGCAAGAGCAUCCAGGGAAGGAGGAAGAAGACCCAGGACCCCAAGAUUAGCCUUUGACGGAAGACUGAGAAUCGGGGCAGCAGGUGCAGCAGACCCGGAGCACACGCUGGGGAACAGCUCGCGCGGCGGGUUCUGAGGCCUGGGUGUGAUGGAGGCCCCGCUGACCUUCGCCGACGUGGCCGUGGGCUUCACCCCGGAGGAGUGGCGGCUCCUGGCCCCCGCGCAGAAGGACCUGUACUGGGAGGUGAUGCUGGAGAACUACAGCCACCUGGUGUCCGUGGGUUACCAAGAUUGCCAACCUGACACACUCUCCAGGGUGGAAGAAGAACUGUCAUGGACACCGGAAGCGGAAAUGCAGAGGUUCCCCGGCUCAGAAAUCUCAACAAUUGAAGAUUAUCUGCCACAGCCGUCACAGCUUGGGAAUGUGGAGAACAAAGUAGAACAAUGCCAGAAAACUCAAAAAGUAAAGAAACCUCAUGUGUACAGGGAAUGUGGAAAAGCCUUCAGGAGCAAAUCUUUGCUUAGUGACCACUAUAGCCUUCCCCCAGGAGAGAAGCCUCAUCAGUGUGGUGCGCGUGGGAUAGCCUUUCGCAGGAAGGCCAUGCUCUCUGAUCACCAGAGAUUUCAUACUGGAGAAAAUACAUAUGACUGUACUGACUGUGGUAAAUUCUUUUUCCACAUAUCAGCGCUCAAAGGUCAUCAGAAAACACAUACAGGGGAGAAACCGUAUAAGUGCAGUGACUGUGGGAAAACUUUCAACCACAAGGGAAAUUUCGCUGUACAUCGGCGCGUUCAUACAGGAGAGAAACCUUAUGUAUGCAGUGAAUGUGGGAAAGGCUUCAGCCAGAAGAUGUGCCUCAUAGCCCAUGAGAGAGUUCACACAGGAAAGACUCCAUAUCUGUGCAGUAUUUGUGGAAAAUACUUUUCUCAGAAGUCAGGUCUCCUUAGACAUGAAAGAAUUCACACAGAGAAGCCCUAUGAAUGCAGCGAGUGUGGGAGAUACUUCACCACAAGGCAACGUGUCAUCGUCCAUCAAAAUGUUCAUACAGUAGCGAGACCCCAUAUGUGCAGUGAGUGUGGGAAAGCCUUCACUACAAAGUAUAUGCUCAAUGUCCAUCGAAUUUCUCAUACAGGAGAGAGUCGCUAUAUGUGCAGUGACUGUGGGAAAGCCUUCCCUACAAAUUAUAAGCUCAAUGUGCAUCGAUUUUCUCAUACAGGAGAGAGUCGCUUUAUGUGCAAGGAAUGUGGGAAAGCCUUCCCUACAAAGUACACGCUCAAUGUCCAUCGAAUUUCUCAUACAGGAGGGAGUCGUUACACCUGCAGUGAGUGUGGGAAAGCCUUACCUAGUAGGCAGCAGCUCAGCCUGCAUCAACGGAACCCUCCAGGAGAUAAGCCCUGUGUCUGCAGUGAGUGUGGCAAAGCUUUUGCCUAUGUGGCUUGUCUUUUUUAUCAUAGGCAAAUACAUCGAGAGAAAUAUGUACAUUUGGUCAAGAUGGAAAAUCCCCCCACUGAGAGGCAUGGCACAUCCCAGACCAGCCUUGUCCUGAGGGAAAGAAACAUUGCCAAUUCUGUUUCUAUGCCAGUGUCUUCUGUGGCCCCUGAGACAUCAUUAAAUGUCCUUGGGCUCCUGGCAGAUGAGAAUGUGGUCCUAGUGGGCCAGCCUGUGGCCAGUGGCACAUCCUUAGGAGACAACAGCUGGGUUGCAUGGGACGGAAACCUCACGGAUGCAGUGAAUGUGAUGGUGCCUUCAGGGACCCAUUAUGUCCUAUGUUAUGUCGUAGAAAACCAGUAAGAAGGAAUUCACACCUCUUUGUGGGAAGUGGUGUGCUAAAGUUCUAGGUCACAGUAUGUGAAAAGAAUAAACUCGGAGAAGUUCUGUAAAUGCAGCACCUGAGAAGCCUUCUGUACUCACCCUAUUAAAUACAUGCAUUGGCACCCUGUGGCAUGUGGUGUUAUCCCAAAUGUGCACACAGUUGCUCUGAUGUGUCACUGGAAUGAAGGGAGCCUGAGUGAUAGGUGACGCAGUUGAGCUUUUAAAGCAGACUCAAGAACAGAAUAUAAACUGGGCAGAGCAGAAAAGGAAAAGCAUCCUCAGAAUACAUAGAUACCGGAAUCUACUCCCUGAGAAUGGAGGAAAACAGGAGAUUGCAGGGUCUUUCCUGGAAGAACUGGGCAUCGCCCAGGCAUCUUCCCAGCACUCACUGUGCUCCUGAGGCUUCUUGCCUGCGUAAAUCUUCUGAUGGGAAGCAAGAAAGAACUUGAUGGAGAAUGUUUUCCCACACAUGCUACAUCGCUAAGUUUUCUGCUCUGCAUGACUUCUCUUGUGGAUGCGGAGGUUCCUCUGAAUGGGGUCCAGUAGCUGCCACUCCUCCCAGGUGAAAACCACAGACACAUCCUUGAAUGACAGCGCGUCCUGUAACAGAAGGUCACCCUCUGCAGAGAUUCUCUCUGGUAAAUGGAAAUUCCUUAGAAUAAAUUUUCCCACGGGACCUUGUGACUGGACCGUCCAUCACUGACCUCCACCCCUGGACACUCCAAUCGAGGAUCCCUCUCAAGGCUCCCAGCUGCUGCUUUGUGCCCAAGGAUUCCCGUGAUGGGGCGACAUCCCUCCCGCCAGGGCUGUCACUCGAGAGCCGAUUUUCCCCCAAAAGACGUUUGGAAGGACCGACACCAGCUCAGACACCCCAGUUUGUGACAUCCUUCAAGCAUACCCCAAUCACUGGCUUGCUAUCAUUCCACCAGAAUGCUAAGCUAUGCCCAAGCAUCCCACACUCACUGAUCCCCCACUCCCACUGUAACAGGGUGGUCCCCAGGAAAGGGGGAGGUUCCAGGUUCCCUGCCCCACCCAGGGGAGGGUGGGGCUGAGCAGGGAGAGAAGAAGCUGCAGAGGAGACUGAGGAAGGAAGGAAGCAGGAUGGAGCCAGAAGGAGAUCCGGAGGAGGCGCAUGGAGCCUAGAGACUCGUGAAGAAACUGCGCUUGUCUUUUGGUUGUGGACGGGGUGACACAGAUGUGGGUGAGACCCGUGGGGAGGUGACAAUGGCAGCUUUUAUUUUGAUUUUAAUUUUGCUCUUUUCCUUCCGGGCUUGUCUGGUUGUUUCUAACCCUUUUCUGUGGGUCCCCACUGGAAGAUGCUUUAGACUUGGGGCAGGCUUUGGGGCCUUGCUCUGGGCCAAUACCAUUUGGAUGGAGUUUUACCCACGAGGGGAUGGGUAACUUUGGGUGCUUGAUUUAGAAACUAGAUUCUUUUUCUUUCCUGUCUUGUUUCCAAAUUGUAUUAAAGUUCCUUCCCAUUAAAGUCUCAUAUGUUUUGUGUUGAGUCUGCGGAUGGCAGAACCCAUUUAGAAUAG